CCCUUAGAUGUUCUGGGCCGCACGCGUGCUACACUGAGUGGAUCAGCGGGUCAGGUUGCGCGAAAGCGUUUCCUAAUCUUUAAAUCCGCUCGUGAUGGGGAUUGACGGUUGCAAUUUUCUGUCAUGAACGAGGAAUACCUUGUAAGCGCGGGUCAUCAUCCCGCGCUGAAUACGUCCCUGCCCUUUGUACACACCGCCCGUCGCUACUACCGAUUGAAUGGCUUAGUGAGGCUCCCGGACCGACCGCCAGUGGCUUUACGGCUGCCGAUGGUUGGAAAGUUAGACAAACUUGGUCAUUUAGAGGAAGUAAAAGUCGUAACA
rnacentral:rRNA from 1 species